AAAUCAGGUAGGACUACCCGCUGAACUUAAGCAUAUCAAUAAGCGGAGGAAAAGAAACUAACAAGGAUUCCCCUAGUAACUGCGAGUGAAGCGGGAAAAGCUCAAAUUUAAAAUCUGGCGGUCUUUGGCCGUCCGAGUUGUAGUCUGGAGAAGUGCUUUCCGCGCUGGACCGUGCA
rnacentral:rRNA from 1 species